GGGUAUAAUCAUAUCGGCAUUAAAGCACUGGAUCCCAUUAGAACUCUAAAGUUAAGCAUGCUUGGGCGAAAGUAGUACUAGGAUAGGUGAACCCUAGGGAAGUCCUCAUGUUGUACUCC
rnacentral:rRNA from 1 species